rnacentral:rRNA from 1 species
GAUGAACGCUGGCGGCGUGCUUAACACAUGCAAGUCGAACGGUGAAGGCGGAGCUUGCUCUGCUGGAUCAGUGGCGAACGGGUGAGUAACACGUGAGCAAUCUGCCCCUGACUCUGGGAUAAGCGCUGGAAACGGCGUCUAAUACUGGAUACGAGCUGCGAAGGCAUCUUCAGCAGCUGGGAAGAAUUUCGGUCAGGGAUGAGCUCGCGGCCUAUCAGCUUGUUGGUGAGGUAAUGGCUCACCAAGGCGUCGACGGGUAGCCGGCCUGAGAGGGUGACCGGCCACACUGGGACUGAGACACGGCCCAGACUCCUACGGGAGGCAGCAGUGGGGAAUAUUGCACAAUGGGCGAAAGCCUGAUGCAGCAACGCCGCGUGAGGGACGACGGCCUUCGGGUUGUAAACCUCUUUUAGCAGGGAAGAGGCGAAAGUGACGGUACCUGCAGAAAAAGCGCCGGCUAACUACGUG